AUGGAUCUGGCAACCGGCGCCAUUGGCGACCUGCUCCCCAAGCUGGUCGAGCUCCUCAAGGGGGAGUACAAGCUGAAGGAGAAUGUCAGGGAAGGCGUCCUGUCUCUUGAGAGAGAGAUGAGGAGCAUGCACGCUGCCCUCCGCAAGGUGGCGGAGGUGCCGUGGGACCGGCUUGACGAGCAGGUCAAGCUCUGGGCAGGGGAGGUGAGGGAGCUAUCCUUUGACAUGGAGGACGUCGUCGACAAGUUCCUGGUGCGUGUCGAUGACGGCUCCAAGCCUGCACCCAACUCGAAGAAGCUCAAACAGCUCACGAAGAUGAUGGCCGGCUUGUUCACCAAGUGGAAGGCUCACCAUGAGAUCAUUGGUGCGAUCGAGGAGAUCAAUAAGCAACUCCAAGAGGUUGCUAACAUGCACGGAAGGUACCCCGUUGACAAUAUUGUCUCUAGUCCUGCAGCGGUGGCUCCCAUCGACCCUCGUCUUCGGGCUUUGUACACAGAAGUCACAGAGCUUGUUGGCAUUGCUGGAAAAAGGGAUCAAGAUCUAAUGAAGUUGCUCUCGGAGGGAGACAAUGUUUCCAAGAAAAAGUUGAAGAUUAUCUCUGUUGUCGGAUCUGGAGGAUUGGGCAAGACCACUCUUGUCAAAAUGGUUUAUGACAAGAUCAAAGAAGAUUUCGAUUGCAGUGCGUUUGUUCCUGUCGGUCGAAAUGGUGACGCAAAGAAGAUUCUCCUGAACAUUCUUUGUGAUCUUGACACGUACGUAGGUCUGAUCACCAUGUUGGAUGUAAGACAACUGAUCGACAAACUCAAGGAAACUCUCGAAAACACGAGGUACCUCAUUGUAAUUGAUGAUAUAAGGGAUGAAAAACCAUGGAAAAUAAUCAAAAGGGCAUUCUCUAAUAGCAACAAUUGUGGUAGUCGGUUAAUCAUGACAACUCAUAUAGUCAGUGUAGCUAAAUUAUGUUGCUCAUGUGCUGACGAUUCAAUCUAUCAAAUGGAGCCACUUAGUGAUGAUGAUUCCAAAAGGCUCUUCUAUAAAAGGAUAUUUUCUCACGAGAGUGGUUGUCCUCUUGAAUUUGAAGAAGUGUCCAUAGAUAUAUUGAAGAAAUGUGGUGGAGUACCAUUAGCCAUCAUUAUUAUAGCUGGUAUCUUAGUUAUUAAUCAUCACCCAAAACCGAAGGAUGAGUGGCAUGUUUUGCUAGAUUCCAUUGGUCAUGGACAUACCAAAGACCCCAGUGUAGAGGAGAUGUUGAGGAUACUAACGCUUAGCUAUUAUAACCUGCCUUCUCAUUUGAAGACAUGUUUGCUAUACCUAAGCAUGUUUCCGGAAUAUCACUAUAUUACGAAAGAUCAAUUGAUAUGGAUGUGGAUUGCUGAAAGUUUUAUCCAGUGUGAAGAUCCACAAACUAGUCUAUUUGAGAUCGGAGAAAAUUACUUCAAUGAGCUUGUGAAUAGAAGCUUAAUCCAGCCGGAAUAUUUUGAUGGGUUUGUAAUUGCUUGUCGUGUACACAAUAGUGUUCUUGAUUUAAUUUGCACAUUGUCAACUGAAGAGAACUUUACUACUAUAUUGAAUGAUACUCGGGAUAGCAUUUCUUCUAAAAGAAAGGUCCGUAGGCUGUCCCUCCAAAAUAGUAUCAAGGAAGAACAUCAAAAUACACAUCUCAAAUCUGCAAGGUCUAUUGCUACAUUUGAUGAUGUUGAUAUUGGUCUCAUGCCUCCUUUCUCAAGGUUUCUUUUUUUGCGUGUAUUGGAUUUGACUGAAUGUGAUGUUAGUGAUCAUAACCAUCUUAACCUUUGGGAGUUGUGGAGUUUACUUCAGCUGAGGUACCUAGGCCUAUACAAAUCAGGAAUUUCUGAGGUCCCAGAAGAAGUUGGAAAGUUGCAGUUUUUGCAGGUGCUGGAUUUGAGAGGGAAUUAUGAUAUAACAGAACUCCCAUCAGCAAUUACUAAGCUCAGAAGAUUGAUGUGCCUACAAAUUGAUUUUUCCUGCAGUCGGAUACCAGAUGGAAUUGGAAACAUGAUAUCAAUGGAAAAUCUCAGUUCUAUCUGUGGUGACUGUCUAGGCACCGUGAAAGAUUUGGGCAACGUGGAAAGACUAAGGCACCUCAAUAUCUGCUUUAAUGUUAUGAGCUUGAAGUUGGAGCAAGCUUUUGUGGAGUCACUAGGGAAACUACGCAACAUCCAGAGUGUACAUAUUUGGUCCCUUGGUUAUCAUAAUCAUUAUGUAUUCAUGGAUCUCCUAGGGAGCGAUUGGGUGCCCCCUCAAAGUCUUCGAGAAUUUGCUGCAAAGUUCAAGUUCGUCUUCAGCAAACUGCCAACAUGGUUAAGGAGGAACCCCUCGCAUCUGUCACAGCUCUCCAGGUUACCAGCCCUCCGUGACCUCUCCUUGGAGACAAUGCGCCAAGAUCCGUUACUCGUCGGUGCUGACGGUUUCCGUUGCCUGACAAGACUCAAGCUGAUUUGCAAUUGGGCUGGCCGAAUUGUGUUCCAGCCAGAAGCUUUGCCCAAGACUGAACAUGUUGAUAUCUUGAUAUAUUUCCGUGCUGCCAACGGUCGUGAUUGGUUUGAGCUGGGCUUGGAGAACCUGCAGUCCCUUCGGAGGGUCAUAGUCCAAAUCAGAUUGUCGCCGGGAGUGAUAAGCGGCGACGCCGGGGCCGAGCAAGGGAAGGCUACUUUGGAAAACGCACUCCGUGCCCAUCCUAAUCAUCCCAAAGUUGGUUCUCGUGACGAGGAAGCCAUCAGACGACCGAUUCGGGGUGAAGAAGCUGCAGUGAUCCGUUGUUUGAAUAUGCCCAACAAGUGGAGAACUUCAGGAACACUUUGUUCUAGCUGCACUCAGAAACUCCUGGGCUCAAAAAGCUUUUAUUGCUACCUGACAGAUAUAGAGUGCAACCAAGGACAGAUCAUACUCUGCCACUGCUACCCUCCCUGCCCUCAGCUUGAACUCUCCAUUCGGUGGAUGCCAUGCCAACAGCUGGAGAAUUUAUCUUGA
rnacentral:rRNA from 1 species